rnacentral:rRNA from 1 species
UACGGAGGGGGCUAGCGUUGUCCGAAGUUACUGGGCGUAAAGCGCGCGUAGGCGGGUCUUUAAGUCAGGGGUGAAAUCCUGGAGCUCAACUCCAGAACUGCCUUUGAUACUGAAGAUCUUGAGUUCGGGAGAGGUGAGUGGAACUGCGAGUGUAGAGGUGAAAUUCGUAGAUAUUCGCAAGAACACCAGUGGCGAAGGCGGCUCACUGGCCCGAUACUGACGCUGAGGCACGAAAGCGUGGGGAGCAAACAGG